UACGUAGGGGGCAAGCGUUGUCCGGAUUCACUGGGCGUAAAGCGCGUGUAGGCGGCGCGUCAAGUCGGGUGUGAAAGCCCGGGGCUCAACCCCGGGAUGCCGCUCGAAACUGGCGCGCUUGAGGACGGAAGAGGGGAGUGGAAUUCCUGGUGUAGCGGUGAAAUGCGCAGAUAUCAGGAGGAACACCGGUGGCGAAGGCGGGUCUCUGGGCCGUAACUGACGCUGGAGGAGCGGAAAGCAUGGGGAGCGAACAGG
rnacentral:rRNA from 1 species